UUGUGAAAAUGUAAAAACGUGCAGGGGGUGUAUGAAUACUUAUGCAAGACUCUGUACACAACGGGUUAGCAUUACUGAUGGGUAUUAUUGGGGUGAAGUUUCUUUAUUUUGGGAUACGAACACAACACACACAGAGCAGAAGUGUUGGCUGCCACUGUGCAUUCCUUAGCAGAAUGCUGCGAUUUGAAACGGGUAAAGUGAAACGGUGAAGGACACCUUGUGUGAGCUAAACUUGGAAUCAGAAAUAAAAUCUCACGGAUAAGUAGUUUUGUGAUGUGGUAAAGGAUCUUUUUGAGUUAUUUUUUAUUUUGGAUUUAUUUAUGAAAAGUUCAUUUUAAUGAGCAACAGGUUCUCAUUUUCAAGAGCCACUUGUUACAUUAAGGAACAAAAAACAAGUUUAAACAAAACUUUACACUCAUUUAGUUUCCUCAAGGGUAAAAACACUACA